rnacentral:lncRNA from 1 species
CGUGUGUGUGUGUGUGUGUGUGGCUGUGCGCACGUGUGUGUGUUAUGAGUUAGUGGUUGACAGAGUUGUCCGAGUGACUGUUUGGUUCAUGUAGUGCCGGGAUCCUUAGUUAUAUUUGUGUGGAGACACCAAGAGGCAUUUAUUUCGUUGAGGUUGACUGCUUGGUUGAUCAAUGUUGUGACAAGAAGUGCUUGUAACCUGUCCGCGGAGUGCCGAAGUUGAAAGAACAGGCAUUGCUCGAUGAACUCUGGAAAAUUUUCAGACCCCUAAAUGUUAGCCAAUAGCUAAACAGAGACGGUCGAUGGUGAAGGGCAGUGAAAUAAGAGAGUAGGGUGGGGUACAAAUGUUAGGGAAUAGAGAAGAGAGAGAGAGAGAGAAAAUGAAUCAUUGAUGGUACAGGUGAUGCUGUUUCACUGGAUGAGGAAGUGACAUAAGAGAGAGAACAGAAAAGAAAAUUAAAACAAAAAAAAAUGAAGAACAGCAAGUAAACAAAAAGCGAAAAUGGUUUCAAAGAAAUUGUGGAGCAGGGUUCAGUUUUCAGGGAUGAUGAAAUAUAGGGACAGAGAUGAGAGAUAGAAACGGAUGAGGUAAGUUGAGUUUAGAAUUACCGAAUUCCUCAGACACACAGUCACAAAACUCACAAAUUUCCCAGUAUCUCUUUUAUUUUAGCAUCAUCGUUAUCGUACUUUCUCUUUCUCUUUCUCUCCCUCUCUCUUCCCAUCUCAUUCUCUCUCAUUGUCUAUCCUUUCUUUCACUCUUUCUUUCUUUAGCUCUGUACCUUUGUCAGUCAGUAUGAAUAGUUUUUCUCUUUCUCUCUUCCCCUCUCCCAGAAACAAAACACAAACCAAUAACAGAACAUCAAGAAAUAGCAGCCAAAUCUCCCCCAAGGAUAGGACACGCUAUAUAAUGUAGUCCUACAUAUUUCUAAAGAGACAGGAUAGUCAUGGCAGGGAUGUCUUUCAUCACACAUCUGCUCGAACAGGGCUGGCCUGGGGCAAAACAAUGUCAAUAAAGCAGAUACAACCAAUAACACAUGCACACAUCCAUAUACACACGCACACACACACACACAAACUGACAUUUAAGCAUACACAAACCUACAAACCGAUGCACAAAUACAUACACAGACAUUCAUAUACACACACACUCACAAACUGAUCACAUGCACACACAUGCACAAACACACAUACACAAAUGCACAAACUGACACAGUUUCACACGUAAACUCAGACACACAUGCACACACACACUCCAACACAUUCCAACACAUACACACACACACACACACAUCCCCUCCAAACACACACACUCACACAAAGGCAGAUGCACAUACACACAAAGACAGACACAUAUACACACAGACACACAUACACACACACAGAGCAAUAAUGACAUGCACACACACACACACACACACAUAUAGCAACAAUCAUACAAACACACACACACACACAGCAACAGUGACGCAAACACACACACACACAGACAUGCACACAACACUCACACACAUAUACACAUACACACAUACUCACACAAACAGACACACACACACAAAAAUCCACAUGCAUGCACGUGCACACACACACAGAGAUACACACCUAGCAACAACGACAGAGAUAUAUGCACACACACAUACACAAAGACAGACACACACACACAUACUCACAGAAAGACAGACAUACACACACAAACAUAAAAAUGACACAAACACACACACAAACUCACAUACUCACAGAAAGGCAAACAGACACAUACAAAGACACACACACACACACACACACAGCGCGCACACAUAUACAUACACAGCAAAAAUGACACAAACACACACAGUCACAGCACUAUAGUUCUGCUUCCUCCAGAUACAUUCAACACAACUAUUGAUGCUGUAGUUGUUGUUAAAGAUGUUUAACCACAAACCAGCUCUGACUGGGAGUAGAUCUAUGCCUCAAAACAAUCCAACCGUGACCAAGUCACUUUUUUUCUUUUUGUUUUUUCCAGCUAUUAUGUAUGUCCUGUUUUCGUGUUAUUCAAACAUUGCUUUAGACAUACAUCUGUUUAGGAAUGUUUGUAGUUUGAUUUGAAGAACAUCUGACUGUUAUUUCUAGCACAUUGAGAGACCAUGUAGUAGUAGUGGUGGUGGUGGUGGUAACAAAAGUGGUGGCAGAGGUGGUGGUGGUGGUGUUGGUGGCGUUGGUGGUUGUGGUGGUGUUGGUGGUGAAAGUAGUGGCAGUAGUAGUUAUUGGUUUGGUAUGAUUGUUUGUGUAAUUGUUGUUGCUGAUGGUAUUUUUUAAAAUGGUUAUUGUUGGUGCAUGUGAAUGUAUGUGUGGUUGUUGUUUUGGUUGAUUCUGGCAUGACUAUUGCCAUUGUGGUGACUGUGGUAUUGGUAUGAUUGUUGUUGUUGUUAACAUGUUGGAGUAGUUAUUGUUGCUGCUGGUAUGAUUUUCGUUGAUAUUAGUGUGGUUGUUGUUUUUGGCAGUGGUGAUGUGGUUGUUGUUGUUGGCAGUGGUGGUGUGGUUGUUGCAUGUGAUAGUGUUUCACAACUUUAGACUGGUACUUUGUUUUAUCAAUCCUAAAAAGGUGUAAGGCAUAGCUGACCUUAGCAGGAUUUGAAACCAGAAUGCAGCCAGCUGGAAUACAUACAGAAAGGCAUUUUGACCCAUCCGUCAUGUAUCCAUGUACAUAUAUAUGUAUAGACCCCCUCCAGUUAUGAAUGACCACGGGAUUGCACCUAAGAAGUACCCCUCUGAGACACAAGUCUGGGCAAGGUUGUUUAUGGAAGACCAGCAGUUGCCCAUGCAUGCCAGCCUUCUCUCUCUAUGCCACCAAUGUUAUCCAAGGGAAAGGUAAAGGCCAAUACAGCUUGGCACCAGUGAUGUCACAACUCAUUUCCACAGCUAAGUGAACUGGAGCAAUGUGAAAUAAAGUGUGUAGCGCAAGAACACAACACACAGCCCAGUCCAAGAAUCAAACUCACUGCCUCAUGAUUGUGAACCCGGUGCUCUAACCACUGAGCUAGGUGCUUUCACAUGUGUGUGUGUGCAUACGUGACCACGUGUGUGUGCAUUAAUAUAUAUAUGUAUACAUAUAAUAUAUAUAUACACACAUAUAUAUCAUCAUCAUUGGUCAUCAUCCCUGUAGUUAUCAUCAUCAGCAGUCGUUAUCAGUAUUGUCACCAUCGUCAUCAUCAUUUAACUUCCACGCUCCAUGUUGGCAUGGGUUAGAUAGUUUAUCAAGACCUAAUGGGCCCAAGGAUUACAUAAUGCCCCAGUGUCUGCUUCAGUAUGGUUUCUGUGGCUAGAUGCCCUUUGUAAUGCCAGCCACUUUACAGUGUGUACAAGGAGCUUUUUUCGUGCCAUCAGCACUAAUGGGACUGUCAGGCAAUUUGCAAGACAAUGAUCCCCACCCCAGGGGAAAACUUUACAUUAGAAGGGAAGGAGCAAAAGAUGAGUAAAAAUAUGAGAGAAGGGGGUCAGGGAAGAACAGAUUUCUUGCUGUAGAGGAGUCACAUGACAACUCACAUAUUAAGAGAGAGGGUAGGAGUGAUUGAGAGGAGCUAAAAAGUGGUAAGGGGGCAGUGAAACAGGAAAUGACUGACAAGGCUAAGCAACAGCAGAAUAUUAAUGAUGAAAUAGUAGACAGGAGAAGAACAAGAUGACACACAAAUGAGUGAACACACAAAAGAAAAUAACAUGCAGCAAAUGUAUUUGGAGUUUUUAAAUAAUUAAUAAUAACAGAUUGACUCACUUGUGCAGAACACAUCCUCAUCAUCAGAUGAAUAGUAACUUAAUAAAAUAUAUAUUUAUCUUUUAUAUAAUUAUAUGAGGUUUAUUAUACAUUCAGUAAGCUUGAUAUUGUUAUGUUCAGCAAGCAAUGUAUCUAUUUUAAACAUCAUAAAGAAAAGACUCUUCUGCUGGCCUUAAUCAACUGUUCCUGGCCUUAAUCAAAAGUUCCCUCCAAGGCAGAAGUCUGGGCAAGAUUAUUUGUAGAAGACUAACACUCACCCAUGCAUACCAGUUUCCCAUCUCCACACCACCAAUGUUGUCCAAGAGAAAGGCAAAGAACAAUACAGCUUGGCACCAGUAAUGUUGCAGCUCAUUUCUACAGCUGAGUGAACUGGAGGAACAUGAAAUAAAGUGUCUUGCUGAAAAACACAAUACACAGCCCAGUCCAGGAAGCACACCCACAACCUCGCAAUUGUAAGCCCAGCAUUCAAACUAUUGGCCCAUGUGAUUUCACAUAAUUCAAAUAUCAUAUAUGCAUGCGAUAUUAACUCCAACCCUCAUUUGACUCAGUUGAGAGUUAAAGCAGGCAUUUUCCAAAUAUCUAAUGAAGUGGACAUGUCCUAUGUCUGCAAAACUUUAAUGUGGAGCUGAGUCAACAUGGUGACAAUUAUGCAUGUGUAUACAUAUAUCAUCAUGAAUGAGUGCACAGCAACACACUCACACACAUAGGUCCCCCAGCAUGGCUGCAGUCUAAUGACUAAAACAUGUAAAAAAUAAAAGAUAUAAAGAAUCCUUGAAUAACACAGAUGUAGGAGUGGCUGUGUGGUAAGUAGCUUGCUUACGAACCACAUAGUUCUGGGUUCAGUCCCACUGUGUGGCACCUUGGGCAAGUGUCUUCUACUAUAGUCUCGGGCCAACCAAAGCCUUGUGAGUGGAUCUUGUAGACGGAAACUGAAAAGAAACCCGUCAUAUAUAUGUAUAAAUAUAUAUAUGUAUGUAUGCAUGUGUUUAUGUUUGUGUGUCUGUGUUUGUCCCCCCAACAUCGCUUGAUAACUGAUGCUGGUGUGUUUACAUCCCCAUAACUUAGCGGUUCGACAAAAGAGACCGAUAGAAUAAGUACUAGGCUUACAAAAAAUAAGCCCUGGGGUUGAUUUGUUUGACUUAUAUAUAUAUAUAUAUAUAUAUAUAUAUAUACCUUUCCACUGGCUAACUUAGACAAUAAGAUUUUGAAAACAAAUUAUGUCCAGAUUAAAUUGUGUUACUUCAAUAACAGAAUUAUCCAAAAUAAACUUUGUCAUCGAAUAAAUUUUCAACGAAUGAAAUCAUCGUGUUUAUGAGAGGGUAGAGCAAAAGUAGAUAAAAAAAUUUAAAUUGUAAAUUACACUGUGGAAGAAUAAUUUUAACGAAUUAAAAACCCCAAAUUUGCUAAAUUCAUUUGUCAUUCGUUUCUUGCCAAAAUGUUCAUUAUACAACUGUGACCUGAUCAUUAACAUAGUUCCACUGAAACUGUUUAAAAUUUAGUUAAUGACCAUUUCUUAUAGUCCUUCGAGGUUUGCCUUCUGUUUUUGGUGAACUUACAAGCAAGAGGUCUGCUUAUUCAUGUUGAUUUGCUUUAAUCUCUUGACAUUAGUCAUAGAUUGGUCAUCAUUAGUCAUAUUCUGGUUCUCUUCUUUUGUCUGCUGACAACAAUGCAUAUGUCAUUGUUAGUAUUCCAUCAUUUCUGUUCUGUUCUUUUUCUUUAUACAUUCUUUUUUUACUUCUUUUCCAACUCGAAAGUUAGUUUUAAAUUUAUGCAUACCCUGUUUACUAUGCAUAAAAAUAAAGUGUUUUGGGACAUUUCUCAAUUGUGCGUACAAGCUGACAGAAACAGUUUCCUUCUAUGUAGAUUUAAAUUACAUUUUAGAAUUUUGAACACAAGCUAAUCAGGAAAUAAUGUCAAUAGAUUUCUAUGUAUCUAUCUGUAUAAAAUUACAUCUGUACAUACACAUAAAAAUAUACACACACACACACCUAUCUAUUCAUCCAUACAUACAUAUAUCCAUACAUAGGCGCAGGAGUGGCUGUGUGGUAAGUAGCUUGUUUACCAACCACGUGGUUCUAGGUUCAUUCCCACUGCAUGGCACCUUGGGCAAGUGUCUUCUACUAUAGCCUCGGGCCGACCAAAGCCAUGUGAGUGGAUUUGGUAGACGGAAACUGAAAGAAACCCAUCAUAUAUAUGUAUACAUUUGUGUGUGUGUGUGUGUGUGUGUUUGUGUGUCUGUGUUUGUCCCCCCCAACAUCGCUUGACAAUUUGCUGGUGUGUUUACGUCCCUGUAACUUAGCGGUUUGGCAAAAGAGACCAAUAGAAUAAGUACAAGGCUUCCAAAGAAUAAGUCCUGAGGUCGAUUUGCUCCAGCAUGGUGCUUCAGCAUGGCUGCAGUCAAAUGACUGAAACAAGUAAAAGAGAGAGUAAGGAGUAUACAUACAGGCAUACAUACAUGCAUGUAUACAUACAUAUAUAAAUACAUACAUACAUACAGACAGACAGACAAACUAACAAAAAAUACCCUGUUCAUGUUGUUGAAAUUCCAAUGAAGGAACCUUGGAUCUAGGUUAGAAACUGACUCUUUCUCUAUUGACAAGAAAUCUAGAAAUAAAACUGAAUAAUAAUUAACUGACUGACUCACACACACACACACACACACACACACACAUACACGUAUUUUUUAGCUGAUAACUUGAAACUUUUUUUUGUUUAAUGCAACACACAAAUAAGAAUAACCUAAGAAUAUUCAAUGAAAAUGAUAGAUAACUUUGUUGAUAACCUUGUUUCCUUAAUUUCCUAUAACUGCUUCCAAGGCAGCUAAAAGGAGAGAGACAUUUUAUCAUAAAUUCAUAUCGUUACAUUAUCAAUUAAAAGAAAUUAUCAUUACUAAAUAGAUUGUAUUUAUUAUUCUGAACAGAGGAGCUUGUUCAAAUUCAUAAAUAUAAUCCCUUAAAUAAGUGUUUAUAAAACUAAAGCGGAAGUCACAAACAGCCUUUUACUUCUGCUGGCCUUAAUCAAUUGCACCUGGAAAGUUCCCCUUACAGGCAGAAAUCUGAGCAAGGUUAUUUGUAGAAGACCAACACUCACCCAUGCAUACCAGUCUCCCAUCUCCAUACCACCAAUGUUGUCCAAGAGAAAGGCAAAGGCUGAUACAGCUUGGCACCAGUAAUGUUGCAGCUCAUUUCUACAGCUGAGUGAACUGGAGCAACAUGAAAUAAAGUGUCUUGCUCAAGAACACAAUACUCAGCCUGGUCCAGGAAGUGCACUCACAGCCUCACUACUGUAAGCCCAACACCCUAACUAUUAGGCCAUGUGUUUUCGCAUAGUUCAAAUAUCAUAUAUGCAUGCGAUAUUAACUCCAACCCUCAUUUGACUCAGUUAAAAUUGCAGACACAUGCCAGACAACAUCAUAAAAGAAGAAACUUCUUGACACAUGCAAACGAGGAACCUUGUUAAAGAAUUUUCACGUGACUGUCAGGUUGGAUCACAUGACAUUAUCAUGGAAAACAUACAAUAUUCUUUUCUACUCUAGUCACAAGGUCCAAAAUUUUGGGGGAGGGGGGCAGUCAAUUAGAUCAACCCUAGAAUGCAACUGGUACUUAAUUUAUUGACCCCGAAAAGAUGAAAAGCAAAGUUGACCCUGCUGGAAUUUGAACUCAGAAUGUAAAAACGGAUGAAAUACCUAUUUCUUUACUACCCACAAGGGGCUAAACACAGAGAGGACAAACAAGGACAGACAAAGGGAUUAAGUCAAUUAUAUCAACCCCAGUGCGAAACUGGUACUUAUUUAAUCGACCCCGAAAGGAUGAAAGGCAAAGUCGACCUCGACAGAAUUUGAACUCAGAACGUAACGGCAGAUGAAAUACAUCCGUCGUGCUAACAUUUCUGCUAGCUCGCCACCUUUAAAAACGGAUGAAAUACCACUAAGCAUUUUGCCCAGCAUGCUAACAUUUCUGCUAUCCCGCAGUCUAGGAAAACAUACAAUAUUGCGAUAAAACAAUGAUAUUGUGCAUAUAUCUAUAGAGAGUCUAUCUGAAUGAAGUAACAAAAAAAGUAUUGCUUGAUUUUAUGUAUUUCAUCAGCAUAAAGAAAGGACCAACAGAUCCACAUAUUUUUUUUUCCUUCUAAGCAUAAAAAAUGUAAAACAUUAACAAAUAAUGUCAUACCAAAAUACGCAUAGACUUUUUCCUGUUCGUGAAAAUACAAUAUAUUGAAAAAUUGAUGAAUAAUGACAUAAAAAAAAAAAUAGAUGACAUCUCAAAUCAUUUGAAGAGCACUUUAUAACUAUUGAUUAAGAAUUAUAAAUAAUUUUAUAUAUUAAAGAUAUAUCUAGCUUUAGGGAUCAGAAAAGUCCCUAAAGUGCAGAAUGAAAAAAAUAUGCAUAUGUAUGUUAAUGUUAAUUGUGUUGUAAAUAUGUUAUGAUGAAGAUGAUUGUAAAUGAUUCAAUGUAACACCAGAAGAAUUCCUCAAGAGUAUUCCUCAAGAGCUUUUACCAAUCUAAUAUUGAUUACUAUUUCUCCUCAACAACAUUAAGUUGAUACUGAAUUGAUUAAAACUUUUUCAUGCACAGACACUGUAACAGUUGAAGUGGUCGACCUUUCAUAAGAUCUUCAUCAAAUAGACUUCAAGUUUAUAAACACACACUAUACAUAAUAGAUAGAUAGGUGAAGUUCAUAAUUACUUGCAAUACAAAGAAUAUACAUUGAAAUUAUGACCACAUUGGAUAUCUUCAAGGAAAGAACCGGAAAGAUCUUUAACUUUCUAUUGAAUUGAAAGAAAUAGAAUAAUGUGCUGUUCAUUCAUUAAAUUUUUCUUUUUAGUUCUCAACAGGCAAUUCACAUCUCUUGCAAUAGUAUUUAUGUGAGUACCGCAUAUUAGUUAAUCUCUGUAUCUUUAUAAUGACUUCCUUCUUUCACUAUCUCCAAUAAGCAAUGCAAAAUCAGAGAUAAAACAAACUCAAUUUCAUUGGAAGCACAAGUAUAUCUAAAUUAAGUUCAUUCUUUCCCAUGGAAUAAAAUAAUUUCUCCCAAACAACACCAAAGUCCAAUUUCACUUUUCAUUUUUCAUUCACUUGUUUACCAUUCAUUUUCCCAAGCUAGAAUGAGUUUGAUUGGAAUUUUAUUUGAGGGCGGAUUUUACAGCUGGAUUCUCGUGCCGGUGGCACGUAAAAGCACCCACUACACUCUCGGAGUGGUUGGCAUUACAAAGUGCAUCCAGCUGUAGAAACUCUGCCAGAUCAGACUGGAGCUUGAGUGCAGCCAUCUGGUUUGCCAGACCUCAGUCAAAUCAUCCAACCCAUGCUAGCAUAGAAAGUAGAUGUUAAAUGAUGAUUAUGAUAAUGAUGAUGAUGAUGAUGAUGACAGGCUUCUUUGAUGAUGAUGAUGAUUCCCUUCUUAUUGUCAAUCCUUACCUCCUUUUCAAGUAAGGAAUAACUUUAUUCCACAAGCUUUCAAAAGCACAAAGUGACUUGUCGUGAUGUCAUCAAAGGAUAUGAACAUCAGCACUUCAGGGAUGAUGAGCAUGACAUGACCAAAACCUAACUUCAAGUACCAAGGCUCCAACAUACAAUAUGACAGGGAUCACCUCACUGAUGUCAAAAUGUAUGUUAAUGCCACAUGGUUAAAGUUAACACGAACAUCUAAAGACCUUGUGAUUGGAAGAUAUUUAUGCCCUUGAAAGCAAAGAACCAGGGGCCCUUUACAGAUUGAGUGUUUCCCACCAGCAAUGAGGUAUAAACCGACUCAUUAUGUCAUAGAAAUAUAGAUAUUUUAUUGCACUUUGGAGCUAAUUUGCCUGGACCAUGCCUUGAAUAAAAACGUGCUGCUUGACAUAGAAGUGGUACCAAUCACUAAAAAGUUGUGUAACAUGUGCCUCCACUGAAAUGGGUAUAUGACAUGCCAUGAAGAACAAGUAGUAGUAAAGGCAUUGUUAAUAAUCAGCUCAAAUGUGUGACAGUAUGGAGGGUCAAAGAAUCAGUAGUUUGAGAGAUCUACAACAGGUCAACUUCACUCUGUUGAACAUUGUUGAAAAAAUCCAAGUGUGGAGAAGUAUGCAUGAAAAGAGACUCCAUUUGAGGGAUAACAGAAGAUUAGAUGAUGAAUAAUUACAAUAUAUUUGCAUUAUAAUUCUCAAUAAUGUAAUAGUGUGAAAAUAUUCUGCAUGAAGCUGAAGCGUAUUGCUAUAUUGUUCUUGUUGAACACUCGAUGGAAUUUGUAGGCCUCCAAGGAAUGUUUGCUGAUAAGAGAAGAGAAUUAAUCUAGAGUAAAAUGAGGUUGAUAAGCAAACUGCUGAAAUAUAGAGUUAUGUUUGCUGAAAGAUGAACAUCUCAAAAAACUUCAUCUUAUAUAUGCAUUGUGCUGAUAUCUCCCCAGAGAGUACCACAUAGGACUCAUGAUGGCACCGUGAUGAUAAAUUUUUUAACAGAUAACUUCCUCAAAGACUUACAUGACUUGAAUUAAACACUUGCAAUAAUACUCAAGAGGAACAGGAACCAAGACAGUUUCUACUUGGUCUUGUUGCUCACCUACUAAAAAUAGCAGUCAAAUUUCCUUCAAAUUACACACAGUGGACAGUGUAGUGCGACAUACACUAUUUGAGUUAAAAGAUGGAAUGGUUAUGGUUUGGAUCGCCUUUAACUGUAGGCCUGCUAGAUCUUGAUUGAUAUAAGGGCUAACAGCACUCACUGAAGUAUCCCUUUCUCUCUCCAGCAAAUAACCUCCUACAAGUAACAGCUAAAUUUCUCUCAAAUCACAUGAUAAUGCAGUAAAUAAGGAAAGAAUACUUUAGAUAAUGGUAGUUCAAAGUAACUUAAAAAGAUAGGACAGUUAUGAAAUGAAAUGCAUUUAGGCAAGGAUGGUUAAGGUAAAACAAUAACCAAAAAAAUCAGCACUUUCCAUAUAUAUUUGGAGAUAAAAAGAUAAAAGAAAGACCAGAAGUAUUAUCUGAGUGAUCCUGAACAAAGUAGCAAUGUUUACAAAUGGACCAAAGCACUGUGAUUUCUGUCUAGCCAAAAACUUUCACAUUUUCUCACAACAUCCUAAUCUUAAGCAAAAUAAAAUUAAAAUGGUUCAACUUUAAUUGCAUGUAGAGUAACUUGAUUAACACCACAAUUACUUGCCAGUCACUGAUGUAUAUGGAUAGAUGAUUAUUUUAAUUUAAGAUUGCUUCAAUUGCAUAUGUCGGAUUUUUAUUCAACUGAGCAGAUAUUUGCAAUAUCAAUGAAUGUUUUAUUCACUGCUUCCUAUAUGAGGGGUGAAAAAUUUAAUCUAAGCAUGUAUAUGAACAUAGUUAUUUAAAUUUAAAUUCAAAUAACUAUGUUCUCUAAACAGCAAAAUUCCCCGCAGAGAAUUAUUUUCUGCAGAAUUAUUUCCGGUAUUUUAGCGAGCCAAAACAAGGACUUUUGAAAGAUAACCCCAAGUGUAAUUGGUAGAACUGUAUACAUGUUCAAUCAAAUGCGGACAUCUCAUGUAUAGUUCGGCAAAUUAUAUUUGCAUUGACGAUCAUACUGAAGAGCUACGGACAAUUAUGUAAAUAAUUUUGUGUAAGGGUUAAUAGCAAAACUAGUUUAUGAUUAAUCUAUAUUCUGUUUCUUUUCAUUUGUCUUGCUCACUUAUGUUCUGGCGUUUGCUAAAUUUUCUUGAAAACAUUCCUUUUUUAGUGGUAAGGCUAUAGUGGAUCUACUUGUAGCAUAAUGGAUGUCCACCUAAUGGUCAUCCCUAUUGUAUAUAUAUAUAUAUAUAUAUAUAUAUAUAUAUAUAUACACACAUGCACACAUAUUUUCAAUAGAUGAAGGGUUAGAGAAUUUAAUUUUAUUGACUAAAUUCUUCUUUGUUUGUUUUGAACUUUGGCUUAAUUUUUAAGAAUGUAAGUAAAUAGAUCUAACAAGUUAAUGCGUUGUUUCUUUUACCAUAAUUAUCAUGUUUGUUUGUUUUUCUUUUUUGUUUUUUUAUCUGAAAGAUAUUUGAUCAAUGAAGAAUACUUCUCAUUUGAAGAGAAAACAAAUUAGACACAUAUUAAAUAACAUAGAUCAAUUAAAUGUGAAACUGACAAAGUGUCCAUGAGUUAAUAUCAACACAAAAUGGCCUUUUAUGACAUAAUUCAUUAUCUUAGUGGAGUAUACAAUUAUUUACUUUAUAACACUUACUGCAUCCACCACCACUACCACCACCACCACUUUAUUUUCUAUUAAUCAGAGUCUGACUCUGAAGUAAUAAUGUCAUGUAAUAAAUCAUACAAAUCAUACACCCCGUCUCACCAAAUAGAAUGUCUCUCAACGUUAGCUGCACAGAACUUUUACAUUUAUCACUCUGGAGAUAAUAAUACAGGUUAGAACUGCUACCAUUCUAAUUUUGCUUGUUGAUUGGAUCAAAUAAACCAAUCAGUGAACUGCACUAUAAUAAGUCAGCUGAUACAGUGAAACUAAAAAAAAAAGAAGAAAAAAGAAAGAAAUGAAAUAAAAUAAAAAUCAAAUAACGAAAGUUAAACUAAUUUAUAGGAGAAAUAAAUUAAUCAAUAUGUCAGCUAAUUAUAGAUGUAAAGCAAUUUAUGAUUGAGUUUUUGGUUACUUGAGAAGUGAUAGAGAUAAGUGAUAGACAACUUUGAGAAAAUACAAUUUUUAGUAGAAAGGAAAUAGAAAGAAAUCUUAAAAUUACAAAAAAAGUGACACUAGAAUGGUGACUGUGUAGAUAAGAACAACUUAAUUUUUAAAAGUUGCAAAAAUAUAGGUUUUCACUUCAAGCUUUUGUCAUGGCAGAAUUAAUUAAAAAUCAAUAUUAAAGUGAUUUUAUUCCUCUUCUUUCUUUCUUUUUUUUUUUUUUUGCAGUGCAAAAUUGUUAAGUACUAAUAUUUCACAAUAAAAAAGAAAAAGAAGAAAUGAAAAUCAUAAAAUUAGAAUGGAAUGUGAUUUCUAAAUCCGGUUAUUGUAGCUAUAUGUUUUGUAUCAGAUAUUGAUCUUGUUGAAAUGAACUCUUUCCAAGUAGAUAUUUCGUGAUUGUCUGUCUACACAAGUCUAUAUUUGCUAUUUGAAGUAAAAAAAGGAUAAAAGAAAAGGAGUAAGGAUAGAUUGUUUGUAAUCCACUUCUGGUCGUAUCCCACUUCAAGCCUGAAGCAUUUUGGUUGCUCCCUUGACAUGUUAUUGCUGCUGUCCUAACUGGAUACUAACCAAGUGCUGGCUUGCUCAGUCUUAAUACUCAUUUUUGCUAGCUAAGUAGAUUGGAACAGCAAGAAAUAAAAUGCCUCACCCAAAUACAUAAUAUGCCUCUCAGACUGAGAACCAAACCCUUGACCUUAUGAUCAAGAGCCUAGUUUCCUAACCACUAGGCUAUAGGUUUUCUAAUAUCUACAAUAAAGAAUACUCUGUAUACAGUUGUGGCCAAAAGUUUGGAACAUAGAUCUGAAAAUUUCUUCUAGAUAUUGAACCAUUAGAUCAUUUUUAUUAGGUAAGUAUAUCUCUACAUUGUAUAUAUUUGAAAUGAAUUGUACUUGGACGUAACAAUUUUAAUGUUUAAAAAACGUCCCAAAUUUUUGGCCAUGAUUGUAGAUAUAAAUUCAGAAAAAGAAAAUUGUAAGCUUUCAUGAAGAAUAACAAGACAAUGAAGUCCUACUGACAAUUCUAGGAUGGUGUUGCUUCAGCACACGCAAACAGAAUAAUAAUAAUGAUGCAGUACCAGGCAGUGGCUCUCAUGGCUUCCAAUAUUAACUGAUUGGAAGUGUUAUCAUGGACAUUUGUUUUGUCUUGGUAUAAGAGAUGGACUGCAGUAAAUAUUCUGCUCAAUACCACAGAUUUGCUUGUCAGUUGCUUGACCUUAACCAGUGGCUGACAAUAUGUGCAUCUCUGAUCACGAGCAGAAAAGUGAGGGAGCAUCAUAGCCAUGUGUUGAGAGGAAUCCUUUGGAGUUUUAAAUCACUCACCUCUGGAAACAUGGGUGUUUUGUUCAUCCUCCUUAAAACAACCCUUAUUCAGGAACCUUUUCAAUAGGAUGGGCUACUCAACCCGAAGAAAAUUCUAACUGGGCCCCUCCUACAAGGUCAUGAACUGUUUAUCUUGAUAUGAGAUCACUAUGUGCACAUAUGGUUGUGAUGCAUGUGCCUGAUGUACCCUUAUCAGACAGGUAGUCAUGAUGGGUAUAUUGGGCUUCAUAUAACUGUACCUCAGUGUUACUUUGAUGGCAUGCACUGUUCUCUCACUCAAUGACAAUUAUAAUCCUUUCUAUGAUAGGACAAGGCCUGACACUUUGGAGGAGGAGGCUAGUCGAUUACAUUGACCUCAGUGUGUAACUGGUACUUAUUUCAUCAACCCUGAAAGGAUGAAAGGCAAAGUCAACCUCAGCAGAAUCUGAACUCAGAAUGUAAGGACAGACAAAAUACCACUAAGCAUUUUGCCCGGUGUGCUAAUAAGUCUGCCAGCUCACUGCUUUAUAUAAAAAUAAUAAUAAUAAUAAUAAUAAUAAUAAUAAAGGCAAAGAACAGUGUAGUAAGAGCAGCAAACUUCUAGACACACAAGCUCUAUUAUAAUAUUAUAACAUAAAACCGUAUUUAGCGGAAGUUCGUUGAAAUAAAAAUAUCAAAGAGGCCUACAGACAUUGUAAUCAUCAUUAAUUUCUAAUUGCCAAACACAAUGUAAAUACAAAGUUCAAUCUUGUGGUUGUUAAAAGUCAAGAAGUCUUUUUGCUUCAAGAUAGUUGCUACGCUUCUUUAGUUCACAGAUCAAGUUAAAUGUCAACUGUCUUGAUGAAAAUGUUCAUAUUUAAAGUAAGCCUUGUACAAACAUAGCUGUAAACAAAACAAUAUAUAAAUAUAUUGGUAUUGCUAUCUUAUGGUCUUGCCAAUUAAGUAAGAUGUGCUUUCUGAUGAGGCCUAAUAAGACCGGAAUAUGUCUGCUUUCAUUAGUUGGUUUUAGAUACAAACUUGACUAUCUGCAUUAUCUAUAUUAUACAAAAAUUUCAAUCAACACUUCUUAUUAGAGUUACUCUUUUACUUGUUUCAGUCAUUUUACUGUGGCCAUGCUGGAACACCGCCUUGAGUUGAAGAAAUCGACCUCAGGUUUUAUUCUUUGUAAGCCUAGUACUUAUCCUAUCAGUCUCUUUUGCUGAACCACUAAGUUAUGGGGAUGUAAACGCAUCAGUUGUCAAGCAAUGUUGGGGGACAAACACACAUAUAUAUAUAUAUAUACAUGCAUUCGAUGGGCUUCUUUCAGUUUCUGUCUACCAAAUCAACUCACAAAGCUUUGGUCGGCUCAAGGCUAUAGUAGAAGACAUUUACCCAAGGUGACAUGCAGUGGGACUGAACCCAGAACAAUGUGGUUGGUAAGCAAGCUACUUACCACACAGUCACUCCUGUGCCUAGAGUUAUCUAUUUUGUUGAUUUCAGAUUUUAAACUUUUCUCAAAAAGGAAUUUGUUUUUCCUUUCCUGCUCAUUGCCUGAAUAAUCUCAGGUAAUUGAAGAUUUUCAUUUCACUGUAUUACAUAUGUGAGAUGCUACUUUAUACAUAUUUAGUAAGCAGAAAAAAAAACCCUCUUAAAAUUUCUUCUCUCAGCCUUAUCAUUGUCAAUAUCGCUGGUAAAGAUGAAGAGAGAAUAUGACAAUCCACUACGUUGGUCAUAUCUCUCUUUAUGCUUGAAGUUGUUUGGUUGUACCACUGAUUUGGUAACACUGCCAUGCUAACUUAAUGCUAUAUAAUUGCUUACCAUAAACAAUUUCGUGUUCCCUAAAUUUCAAUGUGGUCAACCAGAACUGAAGGAUACUGCUUUUAUGGAAGUGAUGCUCAUUUGCAACUAUUAUAUGAAGUUAAUACAAUCCAUUCAGAAGGCUCGGGUUGGCCUGAGGUCAUAGUAGAAGAUACUGGCCCUAAUGACCAAAGAAGUUGACUGAACUCAAAAUCACGUUGUUGGAAGGUAAAGGGUUUCUGUUGACCAAACUCUACUCACAAGGCUUUUAUCAACCCAAGGCAUUUUUUGGAACAAAAGACUUGUGCUGCACAUUGGGAUGAAAUUUGGAAUUAUAUGUUUGCUGAGCAAACUUCUUAACCACAGAGCCAGGCAUGUUUCUGUUUCUAUGGACAUUUAGUUUUAUUGUGAAGGAAAUAAUAAGGUUGCAAACUCCAAAUUAAAGAUAGAACUUUCACACCAUGUUAACCCUUUCAUUACUGAAUUUAUUUUGAGGGGUUCUGUGUUUCUUUCAAUUACAUUAAAUAUAACAAAGAAUUUCGUGAAAUAACUUAGUUAUCAUUAAGCUAGUGUUAGGAACAUAAAUUGUGACUAAGGUUUGGUGGAAGGUUCUAUUUCAUAACUUAUGAAAACAAGGCAUUUGUACUACAGAGCAAGAGCCGGUUUCAGCCGGGUUGGUAACGAAAGGGUUAAUGAUACGAGCUCAAUCAUGUAGAAAAAUAGUUAUUAAUAAAAAAAAAAGUUCUUAUCAUCACUUAUAUUAGUUUAAUAUCGGUAUAUUAAUGCCAGUAGGACAAUAUUUUACUUUAUGAAGAUUUAAAAUAUUUAGUUGAUGAGAUCCCUGUCAAUUUUCUUCUGGUAGGUGAUUGAUGGAUCUAUCUGUUGCUUGGUCUAGCGCUAACAUCAGAACCAUGCUAAAUGGUUGGUAUUAGGAAAGGCACCCAGCUGUAGAAACCAUGUCAAAGCAGACAUAGAAUCUGGUGGAGCCCUCUGGUUCAUCUGUUUUUGUCAAACUGUCCAAUCCAUGCCAGCAUGGAAAAAAAGGAUGUUCGAUAAUGAUGAUGAUGAUGAUGAUGAGUUUGUUUCAAGUAUUCAUGUCAGAUCUCUGAUCUAGUGAUAACUUGAUAUCCUGGUAUACAGCUUUCUACUUCAGCAGUCUUAUGAAUCAUAGAUUCUCCACCACCAACAACACCAGCCCUACCACCACUACAACCAUCACCACCACCACCAGUCUCAGAAGCCCUUGCAUAAAAACAUCAUGGGCACUGCCCUACCUCCUUUUUAUAGAACCUAAAAGAAAAAUUCACUCAACCAUAAAAUCAAUUACUAUCAGUAGACACAUUAAUGUAAUUACUAUUUAUAAUAAUUACUAUUUCAUACAAUUACUAUUUCCCCCAAAAGUCUACGUCAGCAUAAUAAUUAUAUUACAAUUUUAUACAGAAAAAUGUAAUUCAACAAUUAUUUGAUUUCCAUUAAUUCUAAAAGUCUGUAAAAAUUCUUUAUCCUUCUAAAUACAUAAAUGAGACUCUAAAAAAAACCAGCCAGCCAGCACACUGUUUCUGUUGUUUUUUUUUUCUCUAAUUGUGAUAAACAAUAGAAUUGUGUCAUACUUAAAUAUUCAGUUAAUAAGUAUUAAGUUUGUUUUUUUUUUUAAUAAUUAAAUGGAAUUGUUCAGCUCCCCUUCAACGAUGCAAUUUAUCUGAAGACAAAGAAACAAAAUGGAAAAACAAAACAAAAAACUAACAAGCUUUAUGUUCUAAUUAAUUAUUCAGAAACAAAAGAGUCUUGAAUAUCUGUCAGACGGUUAUCAUUUUUAUUCUUAAAUCACCUGAGGAUGUUUUCAAUAUGUAUCCUAUCAUAACAGAAAUACACCGAAUAUUAAAUUUAUGUAAUCAUAAUGAAAGCUAAGGAAAUAUUUUGCAGUUUUUCUUUUAUAUAAACUGCGUCUGUGUACACAUGUACUUACAUGAGGUGACACACUUGUGCAUUUCAAGCUAUCACAAUUUGAAACAUAACAGUAAUACAAACUAACUUUAUGUUGAGUCAAUAAGAUAACAAACGAGCAUCUUCAUGAUUAUACAGUCUACUAAAAAUAGCAGCCAAAUUUCUCUCAAAAUCAUUCUAUCAUCAAAAGGGAAAAGGAUACAGUUAGAUCAGUGCUACUCAAAGUGGUGCUCUGCUGACCAGUGCCGAUCCGUGAGCCAUCAGCUGCCGGUACAUAGCAAUUUUGCAGAAAAGAAACAUAAAAUGCUUAUAAAAUGCUUAUGUAACAUUAUACUAUUUGUUUACAACAUAAAUAUAAGAUAAAAAAAAAUUGUCAACUUUUAUUAUAUUUAUUAUAUACAGUUGCGGCCAAAAUGUUCAGAACAGCAUUGUUUUAACGCCAGAAAAGUAGGUAUAAGUUUUUAUCAAAGUUGUUUUAUAUUCUAUAAUUUUCACAGACAAUAAAUACGAUAUUAAUUGUUAUUGUCUGAGAUUUUGGUGUAAUUUGAGAGGAUAAUACAAAAGUUAUGGAUGAUUUAGUAAUUUACUGCAAAACCCAUGGUGGCCAAAAUAAUCAGAACAGUUGCUUUUACUCCAUGUUUUAGUAUAUUUAACCGGCGAACUCUAAUGUUUUGAAGUUGUUUACGUGACGGUUCGUGUACUAAACAUUAGUAAGAAUAUCUGCAGUGUACUUUGUUAAUAUAAUGCCACUUACUCCGUUAUCAAUUCGUCAGCAGAUUAUUAAGCUUCGAAAGAAGGAUAAUUUAAGUAUUGGGUCAAUUGCAAAGAUUGUUAAUAAGUCAAAAAGUGUUGUUCACGGUAUUCUUAAGGUCUUCGAUGAUUGUGGUUUGUGUGAAGCAAGAAAGUCUACAGAUAGACCAAGAAAAACGACCAAGAGAGAAGAUCGUGCUAUGGUAAAGUUGGUUAAAAAGGACAGAUUUAAAACUGCUGCUGCUGUUUCUCAGGAAAUGAGCAUUGUACUGAAGAAAACGUUAUCUCGAAAAACUUGUCCCAUCGUUUAGUUGAACAUAACCUACAAGCAAGAUCACCAGCAGUGAAGCCACUGAUCAGCUCCAAAAAUAAAAAGUGUCAUCUUACCUUUGCAACCGAACAUGUGUUGUGGUCUCAAGAAAAAUGGCAAACGGUGCAUUUCAGUGAUGAAUCUAAGUUUAUGUUAUUUGGCUCAGAUGGGAAAAGUAGGUGAAAAAUUGUCACCUAAAUGCCUUAAGACUAGUGUUAAAUUCGGUAGAGGAAGUGUCAUAGUUUGGGGGAUGAUAUCUGGUGAUGGUGUGGGCCCUUUGGUGCGAUUACAUGGAAAGGUAAAUGCAGGAGUUUAUAAACAACUUGUAAAAGAUCAUGUCUUGCCUGUGCUGAGAAAUUCAACUAAGUGACCACCCAUAUUCAUGCAGGACAAUGCCCCAUAUCACAAGGCUAAAGUGGUCAUGAACUUCCUCAAGGCUGAAAAGGUUAUUAUUAUGGAUUGGCCUGCUCAAAAUAUAUUCCACACAUUGAAAAUGUGUGGAAUAUUCUAGGAGAACGUUCGAAAGCCAGAAAUCCCAAAAUAACCGAGCAAUUAUGAAAUGCCCUUCAGGAAGAAUGGAAUAAGAUCACCUAGCAAGAAAUUGAAAAUUUAAUUUCCUCAUGCAGUCGAAGAUGUCAAAGUGUGAUUGAAGCUAAAAGGUUUCACACUAAAUAUUAAAUAAUUCCACUGUUCUCUGUCAUUUUUGAUUAUUUUGUUAUUUUUUCAACAGUUCUGAUCAUUUUGGCCGCCAUGGGUUUUGCAGUAAAUCACUAAAUCAUCCAUAACUUUUGUAUUAUCCUCUCAAAUUAUACCAAAAUCUCAGACAAUAACAAUUAAUAUCGUAUUUAUUGUCUGUGAAAAUUACAGAAUAUAAAACAACUUUGAUAAAAACUUAUACCUACUUUUCUGGCAAAAACAAUGCCAUUCUGAACAUUUUGGCCGCAACUGUAUAUUGUGGAAGGUGUUUGUAAGCCAUUUAAGAAACACACAAAAUCCGUUUGGUUCACUUCAACAUUUAAAUUUAAUUUGUCAAAAUAUUUUCGUCGCUUUGAGACCAUGACCUGUUCACUGAUGAUAUUCUGUGCUGCCGUAAUUUUGUCAAUGAACAGGUUGCAGUCUCAAAGUGACAAAAAUAUUCUGAUAAAUUAAAUUUAAAUGUUGAAGCGAAUCUAACGGAUUUUGUGUGUUUCUUAAAUGGCUUAUAAACACCUUCCACGCUGCAAUUGUUUUCGUUCCAGCACACAAUCUCAGAUCAGGUCACUUGCUAUGCAAGUACAUCUCCGUAAUUAUAUAUAUUGUUUCUGGUAUAAAUUGAUAUUAUUAAGAAACAUUACUGGUCCCUGGCACAUUGGAAAAAAACUGCCAGUACGCCACAUCAGAUAGUUUGAAAAGCACUGCAUUAGAUAAUGUAGUCCUAAGCAGCUUUAUAAAGAUGAGAUUGAUAUGGCUGAAAUACCUUUGAUCAUAGAUCUGCUAGAUCAAGGCUUUACCAGGGGUUAAAAAAACAACAACAACAGGCUUUUGUUGUGAAGAGCUUCUUGGAGAUUAUAUCCUCAAAAGACCCUGAAGUCGAAAUUUUAUUAUUGAGAUUUUAUGAAUCAAUAGCAUUUUACAUUGUGGAAGAGGUAUUUAAUAAUGCACAAAGCUGUUAAAUUCACUUUAAAUUUAAAUUUAUUUCACAGUGUGCCAGAUUUGUGUGUUAUUAAAUGGCUUUUCCAUGAUGUAAUCACUUCAGUUUCAACACUUAGUCUCUGUACAAUUCCCAAAUAUGAUUUUGAUUUAAAUUUAGUUUUGGGUUUCUUUAUUAAUGGAAUGGCAUUCUUAAGCAUAUUAGCUAAAAAUUUCCCUCCCAUAUGUAUAUAUGAUAUCAUGUAUCUAUGACAUAUAUAUAUAUAUAUAUAUAUAUAUAUAUACGAUAUGUGUGUGUGUGUGUGUAUGUGUAUACAUAUGACAGGAAAUUGCGAGGAUGAUCCGGUUCUUAACUGAAGAUUGAAGGCUUCGAAUGUCCCGUCCGUGUUUUUUGUAUAGUCUUCUAAAUGUUUUACUUUCUUGUCCCAGUUUGGAUUUUUUUACAUUUACAUAUAUAUAUAGUGGCGCCCGUACCCUUUUUGGUCUUAUAUGUAAGUACAUAUUUCUUUAAAACAUGGUACGAUUCUAUAACACUGUCUCUCUCUCCCUCCUCUCCUACAUUUCUCUGCACAUUAAAAAAACUCUUGUUUUUUUAAUGUAUUCACACAAAAUCAGGGGAUAAACAAGUACUUCAUUUUUCCAUAUAGUCUCCUUCCUUUUUGAUGUACUUGGUCCAGUGAUCCACAAGCUUGCGUAUUCCCUCCAAGAAGAAGGUUUUCAGUUGGUCAUGCAACCAUUUAUGCAUCAGCUCUUUAACAUCUUCAUCCGUAUGAAAUCAACAACCUCGUAAACCACCUUUGAGCAGUCUAAAGAUAUGAUAGUUGGAAGGGGUGAGAUCUGAGCUGUAGGCAAGGUGUUCCAGUACUUUAAAACCCAAUUGGUUAAUGGUUCCAAUGUUCAGGGUGGCCAUGUGUAGGCAUGUAUUGUCAUGCAACAACAAAACUUUCUUCGACAAUAGGCUUCGGUAUUUGGUGCAAAUUGCUGGCUUCAGUUUUUUGGCCAGCAAAGCAUUGCAUCUUGCACUGUUGAUCGUACACCUCUUUUUCCAGAUAGUCUUCCAGUAUAGGCCCUUUUGAGUUCCAAAAUAGGGUUAGUAUUACUUUCACUGUGGAAGACUGAGUCUUGAAUUUCUUCAUUGCUGGUGAACCAGGAUGCCUCAUUUCCAUACUCUGCUUUUUGGAUUCUGCCUCAUAAUGAUGGACUCAUGUUUCGUCUCCUAUGACCAUUCUGCUCAAAAAUUCCUCGCCCUCAUGGUUAUAGUGAUCAAAUAAAUGUUAACAGACCUCAAGGCAUUUGCAUUUGUGCUCUGCAGUAAGCUCUCUUGGCACCCACCUUGCACAGACUUUAUGGAGGGCGAGAUCAUGGAUGAUUUGAUAAGCAGAACCAUGACUAAUCUGCAGAGAAUGAGCUACCUCAUCAAUGAUAACUCACCAGUUCUUUCAGUUUCUGUCUACUAUAUCCACUCGCAAAGCUUUGGUCAGCCUGAGGCUAUAAUAGAAGACACUUGUCCCAGGUGCCAUGCAGUGAGGCUGAACUCAGAACCCUGUGAUUAGAAACCAACUUCUUACCAUAUAUACACACCUGCAUGUAUAUAUGUGUAUGUGUGUAUACAAACACACAUCAUAUAUAUAUAUAUAUAUAUAUGAGGUGUAUGUGUAUAUGUGUGUAUGUAUGUGUGUGUAUAUUUAUCACAUAUACAAUACAGCAUUUUUGCUGUGCUCUGAGGACCCUGCCAUUUCCCCUGGGGCUGCCCAAUAGGUAUUUUACUAUUACUUCAUGAUCAAUGUUUUAUCUUCAGGCAACACCACAUGAGGCUUCACUUUUUAAGAGAAGCAAGAGAUCAUCCAAAUUCACAAUUCUUCCUGCAUAUUUUCUCAAACAGAAAAUUUAAUUCUGCAAAUAUCUUGUCAAGAUACCAAGAAUAAAACAAAAUAAUUGAUUUUUCACAGGUUACAUGUAACAGCUACACUUUUGCAAAUACAAGUAAAAAUAAUUUCAAAGCAAAUUGAAAUACAAUCGAAACAAAAUAAAAUAAUUUUGAAGCUAAUUAAAUCUUUGUUAUAAUUAAAUAAUGUCAUAAAACCAUAUUUCCGAUGUUUUUAUUUAAUGAGAAUCAAAUUACAGUUUAAUUUUAAAUGGCAACAAUUCUUAAACAAGUUUGAAAAUAUCUUUCAUAAGUUUAUCUAUUUGAAUAUAAAAAAAAACCAGUUAUUCUGACUGUAAAUGCAUUCUUCCAUCAAGAUGAUUUACUAUAAUCUAUUGGGACACAGUCAAUCUUCAAACAUUGAAAGUUAAUAUUUUCAAAGAUUAACCCUUAAAUAUUUAAACCAGCGAUAUCUGGCUCAAAUAUUCCAACUAUUUCAUGUUCAAACUGGCAAGAUUCAACCUCUUACACUUAUCCUACAAUGUCAUUCUAAAGCUAAACAAACACACCAUCGAAAUCUCAAAGCUACAACAUAAUGCAUGAUUAAUUCAAAACAAUAUGAAUAAAUAAGCUUUACAUUUAACAGAGUAAUCUGAAUGCUAAAGGGUUAAGGCAGCAGUCCAAUGAUCAUGGGCACAGUCCAAUGAUUGAAACAAACAAAAAAAUAAAAGAUAAAAGAAGAGGUAUUGUUUUACUUUCCUCCAGUUUUAUUACCCCUGCCUUAGCAAAGGUCGAGGUAUUGUUGUCAGUCGUGUUUGUUUGUUUGUGCAUGGACAACAUAUCUCAAGAACCAAUGGGUUCGGAUGAAACUUUCAGGGAUGUUUGGCCUCGUGACUGGCACAAACUGAUUAGAUUUGGGAUUGAUCCGGUACCGCACAAGGAUUCUGGGUUAUUCGUUAUAAUUACUUUACCUUACGUGAUUACGAUCUUAUGUUAACUUUCAAGUCUUUCUCAAUUAUCUCUUUUUAGGCUGUAACUAUUUUGAAUGGUAAAUUUGUUAAUUUUGGCUUGUAUUAGACAAGGAUAAACUAUUUAUUACAGUUUUACUAGAUAUUUUACAGCCACCUUCACAUUCCAUGACUACCAUUGGGACCGAUCAGGUACCAGACAAGGAUUCUGGAUUAUUUUUAUGUUUUUUUUUACUUAAUUUUUGAGAGUGGUCAGGUUCAUUUUUAGUAUUCUCGUUUGUGAGAGCAGUUGAGUUUAUUUUAGAUAUUCUCAUUUUAAAAAUCACCUCUGGCUAAUCGUUGAGAAGAUGUUGGUGUUGCCUUGGUGGAGGUUUGUACUCUCUGAGUGCUCUUGUCUUAAUUUGUUUUCAGUUUAUUUAAUUUUCAGUAUACUCUUUUACUCUUUUAUUUGUUUCAGUCAUUUGACUGUGGCCAUUCUGGAGCACCGCCUUUAGUCGAGCAAAUCGACCCCAGGACUUAUUCUUUGGAUGCCUAGUACUUAUUCUAUCAGUCUCUUUUGCUGAACCACUAAGUUACGGGUACAUAAAAAUACCACCAUCAGUUGUCAAGCAAUACUGGGGGGACAAACAGACACACAAACAUACAUAUAUACAUAUAUACGACGGGCUUCUUUCAGUUUCCGUCUACCAAAUCCACUCACAAGGCUUUGGUCGGCCCGAGGCUAUAGUAGAAGACACUUGCCCAAGGUGCCACGCAGUGGGACGGAAUCCGAAACCAUGUGGUUCGUAAGCAAGCUACCUACUACACAGCCACUCCUACGCCAUUCAUUGCUUUGAGAUCAUUUCAAUUUGUAUCUGAAAAGGUACAAAGUGAAGUGAACUCGAGGGAAAAAAGUAAGUAAAUAAAAACAUAAAGAAAAGGCUGUGAUAGCAGUUAACUGCAGCUAAUACUGCAGGACUACAUAACAUACAAGGAAGAGCUUUCUUCAUUAUAUCAUUUUUGCUCCAUAAAAAUGUUGUAACAGACAGACAAAUGACAUAUUUCUUUUGAAUAUUUGUUAUAUUUCACAUAAUGAGAGCAAGGUGGCAGAACCAUUUCUGCUUUGCAGCAUUUCUUCUGGUUCUUUAUAUUCUGAGUUCAAAUCCUGCUGAGGUCAACUUUGCCUCUCCUCCUUUCAAGAUCAAUAAAAUAAAGUACCAGUUGAACACUGGGGUUGAUGUAAUUGACUCAUCACUUUCCAAUCAAAAUUACUGGACUUGAACCUUGCAAUGGAUCAAUGACCAGUUCAGGAAAAUGUUUUUUGAUCUUUAUCACUUAUAAGCGAUGGAAACUGGCUAACCGGCUUAAGAAAAAUGAAAAAAUAAGUUACUGCCGUGUGUGUAUAUGUGUGUGUAGGUGCUUGUGCCUCUCAGAGAGAGAGAGAGAGAGAGAGAGAGGGGGGGAAAUGAUGCACAUGGUCAGUUCUAAGCAAAAUCCAUUGGAAAGUGUUUUAAUUCAGUUUUAAUCCUGGUUCCUCUUGAAGAGAAGCUUUUUGGCUCAAACUAUUGUAAAAGGAAAAAAUAUUAAAGGUAAUUCUUUUUGUAGUUCAUUAUAUUAUUCUUAUUUUUUAAAAAAACCUGCAUUGUCAGUACUUUUAUUAAAUUCAAAGUAAAACUUAGGAAUCUAAUUUUCAGUAAAACCCUGACUUGAUAACUUUUCUACAAAUAAGUGAAAACAAUUAUGUUAUAUUAAGUUUACUUACUCAAUGAGUAUCUUUGACUAAGUGCUCUUGAAGUAAACAUACUUAUGCUUGAGUGUGUGUGAGAGCAUGAUGUUUAUACCAUCUUAGAAACAUUUCCAAAUAGAAAGAUGUUUACACAAACUGAAACAUACCUUGACACAGGUAACUAAACAAAGAGAUAAAGUUGCAUUUUAAGACUGGCAUCUUAAGUGUGCAGUGUCAAAAUGGUUAACCUUUAGGACCAUGAAGACUAGGAUCAUAGCUUUCAAUGGGUCUAUUGGUAAAACCGUUGUGUAGUAUAAGCUACAUAUAUUAUUUUGCUACCUCAGUCAACCAUGUAAAGAAUGAUGCCAAUAUGGGUGGCUCUAUAUGGUCAGUGAAUUCACACAGCCUAAAGGUUAGAGUGUCCAGCUCAUGAUCAUAAAGUCAUGAGGUCAAUUCUUGGAUCAGACACUGUGUUCUUCAGCAAGGCACUCCAGUGCAUGCUGCUCAAAUCAACUCAACUGUAAAGGGCUGUAGCCAGGUGUUGGUGUAGUAAUCUCUCCCUCCAUCUAUCACAUCCAAGCUAUUCUGUAGGAUCAAAUAUGAGAGGUUUGAUAGGGUAUGUAUUUAAUUGCGAUUGCAUAGGUACCUAAAACAAUUAGUAAAAAUAUGGUCUAUGUUAGUAAGCUAUAUUCACUAAUGAGUGAUGGUUGGUUGCACUGCUAACUCUGAAUGAUCACUCAAACUAACAAAAAUAGCAACUCAAUCUCCUUCAAAUCAAAUCACACGUUACUGUCUUAAAAAAGGACAGAUAUAGUCUCUGAUACAGUAUGUCCGUAAAACUGAUGAUGACAGGAUGAUGACUGCUUAAAUGCCUUUGACCACUGGUGUACUCAAUUGUAUUUUACCUAGGACUUAACAAUAUCUUAUGUAUAGACUAGCAGUAUAGCCCAGUAUUGCUCAGGUUUGUCUUUUAGUUGCACUUAAAAUGGCAGACUUUGAUGUCAUGUUAACAAAGUUUUGAUAUAGUUUCAAUCUUUUUUGAAAAAUAAAAGUUUUGCAUUAUGUAGCUUGUUAUUCUCUUUAAGUGAACAUUUUUCUGGUUGAAAUACACAGAAAAAUGGUGACACAGCGGUAAAAAAAUCGUAAAAAAUACGGAUUUUCAUAGUAAAAAAGCACCUUUUUGAUGUAAAUAAUUUUUGGUGUUAACAUGGUCCGAUUUGAAUUUUUUCUCCUACAGAAUGAAGAGCAAGCCUUCUAUCAUACCCUCAAUUUUGGUCAACUUGCACUGCAGGGUCUCAGAGGAGAUAGUGUUAGUUUAAGGCUACUAAACCUGCCACACACACACACACACAGACAACUUCAGCUUUAUAUGUAUAGAUUUGCUUGCUGUCACAAUUCUUAUAAAUACUUGAAUUUCUUUCACUAUUCAACCAAUAUUUUUUUUUAAUUAAAUAAAAUCGAAAAUGAGACUAAAACAACUUCAUAUGUUUACAUUGCUCUCAAGAAGCUUUUUCAUUUCAACACAGCCAGAGUAUCUAUAGUUUAUCUCAAUAGCCUAUAGGGUGAUGGACUGGCAGAAGUGGUAGAAUGGUCAUUAAAAAGCAAUAAUAUUUUUUAGUCUCUUUAUAGUCUGAGUUCAAAUCCUGCCUAAGUCAGACUGGGGUCUUUCCCCAUUCCAAGGAAAAAACCCAAUCAGUAAGUGUGAGUUUAGUACUAAGGAUCGCUUAAUCGGGAAAAGUGUGGCUCCUAGGUUAAGAUUUGCUUCACAACCAUGUGAUUGUGGAUUCAGUCCCACUGAGGAGUGCCUUGAGUAUGUGUCUAUUAAAAUAACCUGGAGUGGAAUUUAGUCAGCAGAAAACAUGUAGAAGUCAAAACUGUAUAUAUAUAUAUAUAUAUAUAUAUAUAUAUAUAUAUAUAUAUAUAUGUACAUAUAUUUAUAAAUGUAUGUAUAUAUAUUUACACAUGUACAAAUAAGUGUAUGAAUCCAUUUAUUUGUUGUUGGUGUAUAACAAUAAAGGCUGUAAACAUGAGCAAGAAAACCACAAAAACUUUCACAUCAAAGUCCUUUGCAGUAUUGUUCUGCACCAAGUUAUAGACACUCCCUUAUUACUAUCACCAUAAUAAAUGCAGUGAACCAAUGAUAGGUUUGUCAGAAAUCUGAAGCAUAAUGCUCUCCAAAUGUGAUACAAAUGAAAAUUUUAAAAAUAAAUAAUUGAAUGUAACUUUUCCAAAAAAUAUUUCUAGUUUUGACACUUUUAGAAAUGAUAUUUAUAGAUUGUGUGUAUGGAAUUUAACAGUCAUCACGACCCUAAGUUAGUAUUUCUUAUAGUUUGGUAGUAUACUGGCAAACAGAAUAACUAAUUAAAAGAAAAAGAAAUAUAAUAUUAUUUAUAUUCAAUUUAAUUUGUGAAGUGAUUCUUAUGAAUUUUAGAAUUAUUUCUUCUCAUUAAGUUAUUAUAAAACAAAAGUGUUAAAGAUGUAAUUUGAUUUACAGAAUUAUUUGACACCAAUGCUAGAUAUAAAAAUGGAACUAGCAGAGUACUCAUCAAAGAACUUGGAGUCCAUAUGAAGUGGGUGAUAAAUGUUUCUAUUGACUCCCCCAACAAGAGGCACCAAAAUGGAAUGGUGGUAUAAUUUAGAAGCGCCUUUAUAGGAUUGAGGAAUGGUUCAAACCAUAAGUUACAAGUUGGUUUACUCAUGAUCAGAUUCCUCUUGUUGUUUGAAUGAUUUAAGAAAUAAAACAAAGGGCAUACAAGAUUGGGUAAAAAAGCAGAAAUAUUUGAUAUAAACUCAAUAAUAAUAAUAAUAAUAAUAAUAAUUAAUACAAUGUAUCAGUCUUUCACACACUCACCUAUAUCCAGUUGUGAAUUCAUGUACUUUACAAAAGUUAUUUGAUGUAAACUGUAUUAUUGACAUGGCACUAACAGAACACAGCAAUAUAACCAUUUUAGUUUUGUAUACUUAGAUACUCAUUGUUAACAUAUCAGCCACUUUACAGUAGCUAAUUGCAAGUUUAGCAGAAAACCUAAAAUGAAGCUUCAAACGGAUUAAUACUGUUUUAUGUGUGGAACAUAGCCUGUACAGGAGAACAAUAGUAAGAGAAAGUAUGGCUUUGUGAUUUCUAAAACAACAUACUAACUUUUGAAGCAGAUUAAUUAGAAAAAUUAUUUCUUUAAUGUGGGGAUUCUGGUGUACAAAUAGAAUUCGCAGCUUUUGAUUAUUCAUCUGAUUUGAUUGGAAAACUUUGUUACUAAUAAAGAUCAAAGACUUCUUCUGUGACAACUCUAUUAUUCACAAACAGCAAAACAUUUUUCACAGAUAAAACUUGAACCUCACAUUUGAAGCUACAAUGUUCUCAAUUUUAUAUUGCUCGGUCCUUCCAUUUGGAAGAAACAUGAUUUAUUCCAAUCAGAAAAACUUGAACAUCUAAUUGAACAUUAAUACAUGUGGUGGAAAUAAUAUGUAACUGUGCAUAUUAGGUAUACAAAAAGCAAAUGAAAGAAAGACGAAUAGUUAUCGAUAGGAAAUAUAUUUUGAUUUAUCUUUGGAAGUUUACCUGCUUUCUUGAAGCAAAACUUAAGAUUACAUGUGAUUUCUCAUUAAUGUCAGAAAAGUCAAAAUAUAUACAAAGCAUAAGGGAGAAAUUAGUUCUGUAAACUUGGAUAAUUUGCGAUAAACAUAUCCUAGUUAACAAACAUUACGCUUUCAACUUUAUCAAGAUUGCGGCAUAAAUCAUUUCUGACUGUCUCAAAGACAUUCUUUAACAAAAUUCCUUUGUUUCACUGAAAUUUGGCAAGCUAUCCAGAAAUAGGUAAUGUGAUCUUGCUUGACAUGUUUAAGGUGAAGAAUAGAGAAAAUUGAAAUAAAUGAACACUGAUAAAUCACAUCGUGAAAUUCUCCACUCUGUUAUCAAAAUUCAGCUAAAGCUCUAAUUUGCAACAGAAUAUAAAGAGAAGAUAGAGAAGAUCAUUGAAGAAAGACAAUGACCUGGAGUCAGAACUACUGUGAUAAUUUCAUACUGUUUUCUGAGUUUCUAUAGAUAACAUUACUUGGUGUAUUUAAAAAUAGUUCUGUGUAGGAGGCUAUCUUACACUAACUAAAGAUUCCCGAUUAAAAGAAAACAAAGAAUAAAUGUAAAAAUAUUCAAGAAAAGAAAGCAGAGAUUUACAAAUAUUUAUCUUUUUUUAUUGUCAAAUAGCUUUUUCAUUAACUUAUAUUCUUUAAUCAAAUGCAAUUAUUCCCUGAGAAAUUAGGGAAAACAAUUUCAGUUGGAAACAUAGCCAGAAUAGUUAGUGUAUUUGUUUGUUCAUCAAAUAUCUAUGUUUUUUUUUGUUCUUGUUUUUUUGUUUUUUUUUUCCAUGUUUACAUGGUUUGGAUUGGGACUUAUUUAAGGUAGGAUUUUAUGACUGGAUGCUCUUCCUGCUGUUAAUCUUGUUUUUCAGGUACAGGAAAUUUUAUUCAUAAGUAUUUGGAAGCACAGAGUGACUAGUAAUAAUGUCAACAAUGAAUGGCAAUAUCUGAAACGGCUUCACUCAGGCAGUGACAAACAAAAGAAGCCUUGGAAUAUCAAUAUUUGCAGAAAUGCACAAAUAAAUACACACACAUCAUCUUACAGACGGGCUUCUAUACACUUUCUUAUUUCUUUAUUGCCCACAAAGGGCUAAACACAGAGAGGACAAACAAGGACAAACAAACGGAUUAAGUCGAUUAUAUCGACCCCAGUGUGUAACUGGUACUUAAUUUAUCAACCCCGAAAGGAUGAAAGGCAAAGUCGACCUCGGUGGAAUUUGAACUGAGAACAUAGUGGCAGACGAAAUACCGCUAAGCAUUUUGCCCGGCAUGCUAACGUUUCUGCCAGCUCGCUGGCUUCUAUACACUUUCUGCCUACCAAAUUCACUCACAAGACUAAAUUAGUUGGUUGGGGGCUAUGGAACAAAAUACCCAUUCAAAGUAUCAUGCACAGGGCCUGAACCCAAAACUAUGUGGAUCUGAAGUAAAAUUCUUGAUCACAAAAUCAUGCCAGCACAACUUAAAUCCCUCUCAGACCUGGAACUCUGUGUCUAAAUUUACCCUCUGCCUGGGCUCCUGAGCAAAAAUAUAAAUAGUUGCAUAUACAGCCCAAGAGUAAUGACUGCAGACAAACUAGUGAACAAAAUCAGUUGCAUCUUUAUGUUUCUAUGUAAGCAGUUCAUUACCCCUUUACUGACAGGGAUGAUGUUCAACCAAUAUCCAUUAUUAUAAUAGCAGAAAUAGAGCAUGACAGGUUUAUAGGUGCUGAAUGGCCAGAUUGAAAUUGAAAAGUUCUAAUCCUAGCAUUACCCUUUUAUUGUGCUCCGAGAUUAAAGAAACCAAAACAAGACUGGAAAUAUGUACUGCAUCUCCUUCACUGUGGAAUGCUUAACAUUAGGAAUACAAACACUUGUUAAAAUAUGUUGUUUCACCAGUUCAGAUAAUAUUUACAUGACCUCCUAUAACAUCGUCAUAAAACAAGCCAACACAUGCUGGCAGAAUCAUUGGCAAGCAGCAUGCAUUCUAAAUUCUAAGGUUCAAUAUUCUAAGGUUGACCUUGUCUUUCAUCCUUUAGGGGUCGACAAAAUAAGAACCAGUUGAGUACUGGAGUUGUUGUUUGUUUGUUUGUUCUUUCUCGAGCAAUGCCUGGCUCAUAAGGGCCGGUUUCCCAGUUUCCUUGGCAUAUAGGUUCCUCACCUGGACAGGACACCAGUCUGUCGCAGGUGAACUGCAAGAUGCAGGAGGAAAGAGUGAGAGAAAGUUGUGGUGAAAGAGUCAGCAGAAUUUCACCAUUACCUUCUGCUGGAGCCGUGUGGAGCUUAGGUGUUUCACUCAUAAACACACACAUCGCCCGGUCUGAGAUUUGAACCCACGAUCCCUCGACCGCGAGUCCACUGCUCUAACGACUAGGCAAUGUGCAUCCACUGAGUACUGGAGUCAAUGUAAUCAACUUAGCCCCUCUCCCGAAACUGCUGGCCUUGUGGAACAAUUUGAAACCAAUACUCACACAGAAACACACAUACAUAAGAGUACAGGUAUGACUGUGUGGUACAAAGUUUCUUUCCCAACCACAUGGUCUCACUUCAGUCCUACAGUGUGAUAUCAUGAGUGUCUUCUGCUAUAAACCCAGGCCCAACCAAAACCUUUUGAGUGGAUUUGGAGACAGAAACUGACAGAAACCCACUAUGUGUGUGUGUUACUGUCACUGCCUUGACAUGAUGUGAUAGUUGUGAGUUUCCUUGUCAUCCAAUUGGUAUGCUUUGCUUCCAGUCUGUGAAAACAUAUAUGAUCAUGGGAAAAUAUUAACUUACUACAUAGGAGUGGUUGUGUGGGAAGUAGUUUGCUUACCAACAACAUGAUUCUGGGUUCAGUCCCACUGCAUGGCACCUUGGGCAAGUGUCUUCUACUAUGGCCUCCGGCCGACCAAAGCCUUGUGAGUGGAUUUGGUAGACAGAAACUGAAAGAAGCCUGUCGUAUAUAUGUAUAUAUGGGUUUCUCUCAGUUUUCUCUUUGUAUGUAUGUGUGUGUGUAUAUGUUUGUGUGUCUGUGUUUGUCCCCCCAACAUCGUUUGACAACCGAUGCUGGUGUGUUUACGUCUCCGUAACUUAGCGGUUCAGCAAAAGAGACUGAUAGAAUAAGUACUUGGCUUACAAAGAAUAAGUCCUAAGGUUGAUUUCCUCGACUAAAGGUGGUGCUCCAGCAUGGCCACAGUCACAUAACUGAAACAAGUAAAAGAGUUACUUGGAAACAAGUGAGGGUUGGCAACAGGAAGGGAAUUCAGUUGUAGAAAAUCCACCUCAGUAAAUUUCUUCCGAUCCAUGCAAACAUGGUAAAAUGGAUGUUAAAAUGAUGAUGAUGAUGAUGACAUAAGUUAUUUAAGACAUCAAUGUUAAAAAUCAAAAAAGAUUAAAACUUUUCAAUUUUGUUUUGAGAAACUAUUGUACCAUGUGGGCCAAAUUGAUAAUAUUGAUGUAAAAAAUUCAAUAUUCAGUUUUUGUUUUCACAACCACACAACUGGAUAAAAGUAUUCAAUAUCACUUACUUCCAUUUAAAUUUUGUAAUCAGGAGUGGACCCAAGCGAGGGCCUGAGGGUUACAUGCGACCCUCAAGAAAAGAAGUGCACCUUUCUAAAUAAUGUUAUUACGCCCUUUUCUCCUUGACUGGUAUUAUUCCCUUCUGACCUUGUACCCACCCUUCGAAGAAUUUUUGGGACCACACCUGGUAUAUAGUCCUUAUAUAUAUAUAUAUAUAUAGUAGGGAAUAUAAUUCCAAACUUACAGGGAAAAAUUCAGUUUAGCAAUUCUAAAUCAAAUUUCCCAAUAUAUAAUAUAUGUAUAUAAUAAAGAGAAAUAAUGUUUAUUUAAUUUAGUGAUUUUUUUAAUAAAAUUUUUUCUAUAUAAUAUAAUGUCUUUCACUAUUGAAUUACUUAAUAGAGGUAAUUUCUCUUAAUUAUAUAUAUAUAUAUACCGUUGGCGAUUUUUUUCCUCUGUCUUCCCUUCUCUAGAUCUUUCCUUCUCCUAUGUUUCCGACAAAGAGUCCGCUCGAAAUGUUAAACCCUCCUUCUUUCCUUCUUUCCGGAGCGUCCAAUAAUACUAUAUUUGUUCCACGUCCUCGCAUUGUUGUGUUUUUUUGUGCCUUCUUGUUUGGAUUAACUAUAUCAUCAUCAUCAUCAUCAUCAUUUAACGUCCGCUUUCCAUGCUAGCAUGGGUUGGACGGUUCAACUGGGGUCUGGGGAGCCCGAAAGCUGCACCAGUCCAGUCAGAUCUGGCAGUGUUUCUACAGCUGGAUGCCCUUCCUAACGCCAACCACUCCGAGAGUGUAGUGGGUGAUUUUAUGUGCCACCGACACAGGUGCCAGACGAGGCUGGCAAACGGCCACGCUCGGAUGGUGUUUUUUAUGUGCCACCGACACAGGUGCCAGACGAGGCUGGCAGACGGCCACGCUCGGAUGGUGUUUUUAUGUGCCACCGACACAGGUGCCAGAUGAGGCUGGCAAACGGCCACGAUCGGAUGGUGCUUGCUACGUGCCCACAGCACGGAGGCCAGUCGAUGCGGCACCGGCUACGGCCACGUUCGGACGGCCCCCUUGUGUGCCACGUGCCACCGGCACUGGCACCACAAAGAUACAAAUUCCAUUGAUGUUCAUCUAUUUUGAUUUGUUUUGAUUUGAUUUUCACUUGCCUCAACAGGUCUUCACAAGUGUCACAAGAAGGAAGGUAUGCACAGGUGGACUGACUACGUCCCAGGUAGGGGCCAUGGGUUAUGGCCUGACUAGUCUUGCCGGGUCUUCGGAUGGUGUUUUUAUGUGCCACCGACACAGGUGCUAGAUGAGGCUGGCGAACGGCCACGAUCGGAUGGUGUUUGUCAUGUGCCCACCGCACUGACUACAGCACUGAUGGAUUUCUUGUGAGCCACAGGCACUGGUACCACAAGAUACAAAUUCCAUUGAUGUUCAUCUAUUUUGUCUAUUUUGAUUUGAUUUGAUUUGAUUUGAUUUCACUUGCCUCAACCGGUCUUCACAAGUGUCACAAGAAGGAAGGUAUGCACAGGUGUAUAUAUAUAUAUAUAUAUAUAUAUAUAUAUAUAUAUAUAUAGAUGUAUGUAUAUAUAUAUAUUCUAUACAUACAAUUUUUAUACUUGUCCCAGACAUUCACAAGAAAACAGAUGAAAUGGUGAGAAAUGGUCUCAAGAAGCUGAAGAAGAUGACUAAAAUCUUUGAUGAUUAAUAAUAAACAAUUCUGAAAGAGACCAUCCCACAAAUGCAAACUUGGAGAAUUGGUUGAUACAAUAGUUUAGUGUUGGAGGAUGGGAUGUAUAAUAUAGCAAGUAUUAGGUCUCUUCAUUAGCUUUUCAUCUGUCACACCCUACUCUCUAUUUAGCGUAUCAGGCUGUACAUAGGCUGUGUAUGUAAUAAAGGAUGGCAUUUGAUAUCCUUGUAUUUGGUGAAUGCAAUUGUCUUCCCAAUAGCAACAUAUAGAUGUGAGACCUGGACACUAAAGAAAGCUGACCAGAAGAGAAUUAAUGCAUUCAAGCUUUGGUGUUGGAGAAGACUUUUACGGAUUCCAUGGACAGCGAGGCUCACCAAUGGAGAAGUUCUUAAGCAGAUCAGGCCGAAAAUGUCGCUAGAAGCUAGGAUCACCAAGCAUAGAUUGGCAUAUUUCGGUCAUAUUAUGCAGAGAAAAUCCCUGGAGAAGGACAUCAUGCUCGGAAUGGUCAGUGGUAAGAGAGGAAGAGGCCGACCAAGAACCCGCUGGCUUGACACCAUCAAGAGUGAUACCGGAAUGGACAUAGCCAAUCUGAAAGAAGUGGCCCAGGAUAGAACUGACUGGAGGACACUGAUCCGAGUAACCGAGAGUCGACUUUGACUGAGUGGAUAGAUAGAUAGUAUUUAAUCCUUUUACCAUCACCCUUUACCAUCAUACCUCUCUUCCACCACGGUCUUUUAUCAUUCUCCUCUCUUGCAUACAUAUCUUUUGUCACUCUACUCCUCUCACAACAAACUUUUUUUAUAGCUAGAGCCUUAAAAAUAUAUCAUUUACCUUAUUGUUAAAACUUUGAUUGUGGAGAUGCAUGGUUUAGUGGUUAGGUAGUUGGACUUUUGAUUGUAAGAUUGUGGUUUCGAUUCCUGGACAGGCGAUGUGUUGUGCUCUUGAGCAAAACACUUCAUUUCACAAUGCUCCAAUCCACUCAGAUGGCAAAAAUGAGAAAUCCUACGAUGGACCAGUGUCCAGUCCAGGUGGGGAAUUCAUAUGCCCUAGAAACAGGGAAACUGGAUUUUAUCAGUUGACAUGACUUGUCAAAGUAACUUUACCUUUUUUACUUAAUACUUUGACUUGAUUCAACCAAUGAGGAUACCUCUAUGUGGCAACUCGGUCUGGCAGAAAUAACAGUCAAAUUCACCUCAAACCUUAAAGCAGUAUAAAACAUUAGAUAAUGUGUUCCGAAGUUCAGUAUUUAAAAAUUAAGUGGAAUGGUCAUAGUUAAAUCUGGAAUGCUUUAAUCACAGAUCUACUUCAUCAUAACACUGAGCAGAGACUAAACAACAUAGGACAGUACAUUUUUCAGUAUUUGUCCUGACAUUCUUCUCUCAAGAUUCAAAUCCUUCUGAGCUCAGCUUUGCCUUUCAUUCUUUCAGGAUAAAUUUAAAAUGUUCUCAUCCAGGGCAAUGAACUAGUAGAAUUGUUUGGACAUCAAAUGAGAUGCCUUGCAGUAUGUCUAUUAGCUCUUUGCACUCUGACAGCAAAGUCAGUGACGAUGAUAUUAGUUCUAAGUUGUACAGGCCUUCGAUAAUAAUCUUUCCCUUCGACAAUAACCUUUCCUUUCAGCAACACUAAUGACAUGCAGCAGAGACAUGUAUAACUGAAUAACUGCUAGGUUUUCACAAUCAUUAGAUAACUGGAAUGCUUCAGAGUAACUGUACCAACUCUUUUCACUCUGAGUUCAAAUACCACAGAGAACAACUUUACCCUUCUGUUCCUUCAAUGUUGCAAAAUGAUUACCAAUCCAGGAUGAUGGAUUGGAAGAACUAUAAGAAAGUCAGACAGGAUCUUUGCAGUAUUGGUUCCAGCGCUUUACAUUUUAAUCUCAAAUCCUACCAUAAUCUUCUUGGGUUCUAGAUUUACUCAUCCACCCAGUUUUACACUCCUUGACAUCUUGAAUGUCAGUAGUAGAGUCUACAGUAUUUCAAGCAUUUUCUGAGUCAGAUCUGUGAUUUGAGGAUACCUUCUUUCAUCCCUCAUACAAGUUUUCAAUGCCCUGUUAGGUGCUAUGGGUGCUACCUUCCCUUAUCACAAAACAAAUAAAAAGAAAACCUGUUCAGACUUAUGCAUAUAAGUAGAGUGACACGGCAUCACACACAGAGAGAGAGAGAGAGACAGACAGAGACAGACAGAAACAAGGAAAUGCCACUUGUAUUUGAAUGCUAUACAAAUAUUCUUUUAAAAAAACUUUUCUUUUAAUUUUUCAAUUUAAUUUAAUUGUUUUCUAUAUUACAGUUGAAAAAGUCUCAAUGACUGAAACUGGUACUGAAAUGUUUUUUAUAAAAUUAUUUUAGCAUUUUCUAUCUUGACUUUUUUUUCCAUAUAUAUAUUUAUAUAUAUAUAUACAUAUACAGUGGACUUCUUUCAGUUUCCAUUUACCAAAUCCACUCACAAGGCUUAAGUCAACCCAAGGCUAUAGUAGAAGACACUUACCCAAAGUGCCAUGCAGUAGGACUGAACCCAGAACAAUGUGGUUGGGAAGCAAGCUUCUUACCAUGCAACCACACCUGAUCAAUACUUUCAUUUAUAUCAGGAAUGGGGAAGAUUUUUAAUGCAGCAGGCAGAAAUUUCCAAAGUAAAAUGUCCUUGGUUGAAUCACAAGUUCUAACUCUUAUAUCUGUGUAAAUCUUGUAUAUAUCUAUGUAGAAUUCGAUAUACAUUAAUAAAGAUAAGUUCAACACAUUAAAUUAAUGCAUAACAUCUUCGUUAAUGCUGCCACUGAAUUUAGGACAUUUAUAUAUAUAUUACUUAUGAGGACAUUUAUAUAUAAUUUAGGACAUUUAUAUUACUUACUUUUCAGCUAUGUAGUUGGGUCUCAAGGGGGUGGUACAAACCUAGUAACAUGUGUUUUAUAGUGAAAGCAAAAUUUCCAUUCCAAUGGCAAUAACCGGAAUAUUUUCUGUUUGAGUUUUAAGUCGUAGUAGAAACACAACCUAUGACAAAAAUAGGCAUCCUAUAUUGUAUAAAUUUUAUAAUUGAAAAAUUUACUAUAUUUUGUAUAUACGAGUAUACCAGCCUGCAAGCGUAAUAAAAUGGGCUCACAUGAGCAAUUGUGCCCUCAGACGGGAGUUUCUCCAUCCCUGAUUUAUAUUAAAACUAUAAUGACAGGCUAGAAACUUGUAGAAAUGUGACAAAAGAUUUAAAUAUUGUCAUCAGUCACAGAGAAAACAUCUACAUGAUUAUAUGGCAUGCUAGAAAUAGCAACCAAUCUUCUCUCAGAUCCCAAUCUUGGUGUCUUAUGCAAAGAAGUACAAUAUUAGCUAAUGGCCAAUGUACAGUUAUGUGUACACUAAAAUACUUGAUGUAGUGUUCCAAGAAAUUAUACCAUACUAUCUGAGGAAUGUAUGAGAUCACUCAGUAAGAUUAAAAAUAAAUAAUACAAACAGUGUGGAGGUGCAAUGGCCCAGUGGCUAGGGCAGCGGACUCACGGUCGGAGGAUCACGGUUUCGAUUCCCAGACCGGGCGUUGUGUGUGUUUAUUGAGUGAAAACACCUAAAAGCUCCACAAGGCUCUGGCAGGGGGUGCUGGCGGCCCCUGUUGUACUCUUUCACCUCAACUUUCUCUCACUCUCUCUUCCUUUUUCUUGAUUAACGCUGUGAUGGACUGGCGUCCCAUCCAGUCAUGGGGAACACAUAUGCCUCAGAAACCAGGAAACCGGGCCCAUGAGCCUGGCUAGACUUGAAAAGGGCGACAAAGGAAAAAAGAAAAAUACAUCAUCCAUUCCCAGAAAUACAUCUAUCCAACAAUCCCUACCUGAAUUGUAUUUUCUCAAACAGUUACCCUCUACUCUAGUGCUUCCCAAAAUGAGCAGUACUGUUCCCUGAGAAGGGUCCAGGGGGAAAAUGGUAAGAUAGGAAUUGGAAAGAUAGGGAUACAUCUUAUUAUUGCUCAAAUUUUCAAAAAUAUAUUUUUAGAGAAGAGAAUCUUGAAUGUAGGAGAUGAGUUGUGAAAAGAGGUUUAGAGAAUUGGGUAAAAUACCCAAAUACAUGGGAAAAAAGUGACCAGCAGCCACUGUACGAAUCAUUUGAUGAUGUUACAGUUCAAAAUAAGGCAGCAAGCUGGCAGAAUUGUUAGCACAUCAGGAAAAUUGCUUAGCAGCAUUUCACUUGCCUUUAUGUUCUAAGUUCAAAUUACACUGGGGCCAACUUUGCCUUUCAUCUCUUCAGGGUUGAUAAAAUAAGUACCAGCUGAGCACUAAAAUUUGAAACCAAUAUUACAGUUGUUUUGACAAUCUAUAUUAUAUUCUCUUUUACUCUCUUUUACUUGUUUCAAUCAUUUUGACUGUGGCCAUGGUGGAGCACCGCCUUUAGUCAAGCAAAUCGACCCCAGGACUUAUUCUUUGUAAGCCCAGUACUUAUUCUAUCGGUCUCUUUUGCCGAACCGCUAAGUUACGGGGACGUAAACACAACAGCAUCGGUUGGUCAAGCGAUGUUGGGAGGAAAAACACAGACACACAAACACACACACAUAUAUCUAUAUAUAUACAUAUACGAUGGGCUUCUUUCAGUUUCUGUCUACCAAAUCCACUCACAAGGCUUUGGUCAGCCCGAGGCUAUUGUAGAAGACACUUGCCCAAGGUGCCAUGCAGUGGCACUGAACCCGGAACCAUGUGGUUGGUAAGCAAGCUACUUACCCCUACAGCCACAUAUUGAUGAAAUAAUUUAUGUGCAAAUGAUCCUUUAAUGGGGAUCAAUCUGUCAUCAGCAACUAUUUGUAGUGUAUUUAAUUUCUUUCAAUCAUAGCAAGGAGGCAUUGAAAGUCUGUUGAUAAGAAAAUAUUGGUCGAUUGUUUAAAAAGUUUGAAAAGCAUAUCUUUUCUCCACUUAAAUGACAGCUUCAAGCUAAAGUCAAUAAAGGGCCUCAUCAGAGAAGCCUUAUCAGCAUUAUAAUUCUCUGAGGAAAUCGACCCACUGGGCCCUAAAGUCCAUAGUAAUUGAUGGCAAAGCACAGCAUAGAGAGAUUAGAACUGAGCUCCUAGUUCCCGUGAGGACCCUAAGCAACAGUCUGGUGCAUCCAUGCCUUAAGAUAGCACCAGCCUUCACCUCAGUCACUAGACAUGCUAAAAAUAGCAGCCAAAUUGCCCUGUACCAUACUGUAAGUGGGAAGGAUCAUGUAAUGUCCUAGGUACAUUUCUAAAUAUAAGAGAUGGUCAUGACUGGAAUGCUUUUGAUCAUUGGUUCACUCAAAUCAACAACAGUCAUUACUAAGCUGUUUCCAAAAACAGAGGAAUUGUCUCACUCCUCUGAUUAAAUAAUGAUGAAAUAGAAAUCAUCACAAUAAAGAGAGGAAUAUAUACUUACGUUUAUGAGUAUGAGCGAGAGAUAGAGAGAAUGAGAGAGAGGGCUACAUUUAUAGGUAUCAAUUUUAGCUAAACUCAAAGCAGAAUCUUAUAAGCUAUGGGAGGCAACUCUAGCAAACUAAAUAUAUGCUAACUAGAGGAUUUUAGCGACAAGAUGGCACAAUCAAUAGAGCAAAAUAGUAUGUUUUGUGGUAUUCGUUACGGUUCUCUUCACUCUAAGUCCAAAUUCUACCAAGACAGAUUUGUUUUUUUUUCGAUAUCGAUAAAUAAAGUGCAAAACAAUACUGAUUGGGGUUCUUUUACCCGCAGUAUAUUGUUACACCCACCUUAAAACACCCGCUUGAUGCUAAGUUAGAUUGGCUCUUUCCUCGCAAUUAUAGGCUGUCUUAAAUUAAAAACACCACCUUAAACCUGUUCUUGUAGAAUGCAAUCUACUGAGCAUCUCCCUAGGUCUUUGUAAAUCACCUUAUCUCUUCAUCUCUUUAUAACACCGUGUACGUAAUAUCUACAUGUUAUAUCUAUAUUAUACAACUAUGGCAAGCACUAGAGUUGAUUUAAAUGAUAGAUACGAUUAUCUGUUCGAUUUUUUUUUUCAUCUGUAGCAAUUGACAGACAAAUUAUUAUAGUACUGCUUGUACUUUAAGGGCGGAUGAUAGUAUAAAAGCAAACGGCUACGGUAUUCCUCUGAGAAGCAGAAAUACCCUACCCCCACACUUAUCAGGUAUUAUUAUUUCUGAAAGACAUUGUAUUUUAUGCAAUCCGCAGUAGAAAGGCCUAAUGACUAAAUAUUUAUCAGAUAUACAAGCUUCUCAAAGCUUUCUGAUUCUACCUUAACCAACCAAUACCAUUACCCACCACAGAGGCGUCAGGUGAUUCCUGUGAGGGUAAUUUGCUGUUCCAACACCUUAGCCUAGCCAUCGCUCAUGGUAAUGUCGCCAGUGCGUUGGCUUGCUUCAGUUGGUUCUGCUGAACCUUGUGAUGUGCGACCAAUUGAAGCAUUUGGUGUUGAAUGGAUGAUUUCUGUUUUGUUUUUGUUGAAUUGAUGUUUUUUCCUUUUUUUUCUUUCUUUGUCCCUUUUUUUUGCGUUUUAUUCCUUUCGGUUUUGUAUCUAUAUUUCAUAAAAUUGUUUUUGGACGGAGGUAAGGAAUACGUAUACCACCCAUUUUCGGCGUAACAAAACCCCUAACCCUAAUCUUAACUAUAAACACCGGGUGUACGAAUUGUUUACUUUCGCCUGUUUUUGUACAUAUAAUAUUAAAGAAUAUUAAAACACGCUAUAAAACAGUAAAGAAUAUUAAAACACGUUAUAAAACAGUAAAAGAAAGAAAGAAAGGGGAGAGAGAGAGAGAGAGAGAGAGAGAGAGAGAGAGAGAGAUAGAUAGAUAGAUAGAUAGAUAGAUAGAUAGAUAGAUAGAUAGAUAGAUAGAUAGAUAGAUAGAUAGAUAGAUAGAUAGAUAGAUAGAUAGAUGGAACUUUUUGUGACCCUUCUGCCUUUAGUAACAAUUAAAUAAUGAAGAGCUUAUUGCAUACGAUGCUCAGAUGCACUACAACUAGCAGUUGUAAAAUGAUAAACAGGCGGCAGACAACAGCAAUAAGUCAAGAGAAGAGACACAGUUGAAAGCUAAAAGUGUAUGUACAGUACACAGAACAAAACACAAAAUGACAGAUAAGCGGACAUUAAAAGAACGAUAAAAGAACCAGAAAGGGGGCAUAGAGAAAGUUUAUGUCCCUUUUUUAAAAUUCACAAUUUCGCCCCAACCACUCCUACGAAAAAAUUGUCUUGGCCAAGGUACGUAUUUUCAGUUACGUUGAUGAAUGAGUCAACGAGAAUCGUGCGUCUUUGUCAUGAGAAAAGUGCAGUGAUAGAAUGAAUACUAACAACACUUCAGUAAACUGUAAAAUAAGCGCUGGCAUUUACUGCAGGAGGAGAGCAAGAAAAUUUUAAUUCUUCGUCAUACGACGCACUGCAGCGAGGAAAGAAAAACAUUGCAUCAACGUUAAAAUCGGCCAAACGGUGUCAAGGGGGACAACUCUAAUUCUCAAAUGCUGACAAUUGAUUAACGAAUUCGAAAUUUCAACUAAAAUUAGAAACAGGCAUGGAAUUAUGGGGAAAGUGAUAAUCUUGCGCAAGGUAAUUCAAGGUAUUUGAUCGUUUGUAUGUGUGCUUGUGUAUGUGUGUGUCUGUCUGUGUGUGUGGGGGAGAGAGAGAGAGAGAGAGAGAGAGUGCUGCUCUGCGUUUCUCUGAAUAAACAAUGUUUAUACAUCUGAGGCGGCGAGCUGGCAGAAUCGUUAGCACACCGGGCGAAAUGCGUAGCCGUAUUUCGUCUGCCGUUACGUUCUGAGUUCAAAUUCCACCGAGGUCGACUUUGCCUUUCAUCCUUUCGUGGUCGAUAAAUUAAGUACCAGUUACGCACUGGGGUCGAUAUAAUCGACUUAAUCCGUUUGUCUGUCCUUGUUUGUCCUCUCUGUGUUUAGCCCCUUGUGGGUAGUAAAGAAAUAGAUAUCUGAAUGUACAGGUGCAGGACGUUUGAUCUCACGAUUGUGAAUUGUUUUCUGAGAAGCGGUGGCGCGUUGCUCCUUUGAGCGAACUACUUUAUUUCACGCAACUUUUCUUUUCACUCAGUUGAAAACGUAAGUACCAGCGACAGCUGGAGUAAAAAAGGUUAACCCUGCAGCUUAUUAGCGCCCCUUUCACAAGAGGAAGAAGAAGAAGAGCUUACUACUUUCACUCAUUUCAAUACCAUGGAAACCGAGGUAAACUCGGACCUAAUGGGCCUGCAGACUCGAGAAGGACUUUUAACAGGCGAUCUUUCGGUACAAGUACCACAACUGCCAAUUAUAAACCCACGUGGGUUUAUUUACAUUUCUGAAGAAAAAAGAAACCCUUUUUCCUCACCCCUAAUCCUACAUAUAAAAAAAAAAAAAAACUUUACGGAGAGUGACGAUCUUCUUCAAAUGUAAACAAACAGACGUUGCAAUUAUGGUACUUGUACCGAAAGAUCGCCCUUUUAAUUUUUCUACGCACUAGUUGAUGUUUUGAGAUAGCAUUUCCAGCCAGUCUGUGUCAUAAAUAAAUAAAUAAAUACUAGUUACCUUCGCCUUAGCGAAGGCAGAGGUAUUGUUUCAGUCAUAUUUGUUUGUCCGUGGACAAGAUAUCUCAAGAACCGCUGAAUGAAUUCAGAUAAAACUUUCAGGGAUGUUUGGCCUCAUGACUGGUAUGAACUGAUUACAUUUGGGGAUCGAUCCAGUACUGGACAAGGAUUUUGGAUAAUUUUUCUGAUUUUUAAAAAUUAAUUUUUGAGAGGGGUUGGGUUCAUUUUUAGUAUGAUUGUGGGAACAGUCGAGUUUAUUUCUAAUAUUCUCAUUUAAAAAAUCAUCUCUGGUUAAUCAUAGAGAAUAUGUUGGUGUUGCCUUGGCGGAGGUUUGCGCUCUUUGAGUGCUCUUGUUAUUAAUUAUAUUAAGCAUACCCUUGCCCAAAGUGUAUAAUCUUCUACCAAAGUUAAAAGUCAGUAUUAUCACUUAUUUUAUUUUUAUUUUAUUCAUUCAUUUAUUUAUCUUAUCUUUUUUUCUUCUUUUCAGUAUUUCACAUCAGCAAAAUCUUUCAUGAAGGUAAGCAUAAAAUGUA